UCUCUCUUCGUCUCUAGAAC
rnacentral:snRNA from 1 species